rnacentral:rRNA from 1 species
GUGCCAGCCGCCGCGGUAAUACGAACCGUCCAAACGUUAUUCGGAAUCACUGGGCUUAAAGGGUGCGUAGGCGGCCCGGUAAGUUGGGUGUGAAAUCCCUCGGCUCAACCGAGGAAUUGCGCCCAAAACUGUCGGGCUUGAGGGAGACAGAGGUGAGCGGAACUUAGGGUGGAGCGGUGAAAUGCGUUGAUAUCCUAAGGAACACCGGGGGCGAAAGCGGCUCACUGGGUCUCUUCUGACGCUGAGGCACGAAAGCUAGGGGAGCGAACGGGAUUAGAAACCCUUGUAGUCC